rnacentral:rRNA from 1 species
AUUGAACGCUGGCGGCAUGCUUUACACAUGCAAGUCGAACGGUAACAGGGAGCUUGCUCCGCUGACGAGUGGCGAACGGGUGAGUAAUGCAUCGGAACGUACCCAGUCGUGGGGGAUAACGUAGCGAAAGUUACGCUAAUACCGCAUACGUCCUGAGGGAGAAAGCGGGGGACCGUAAGGCCUCGCGCGAUUGGAGCGGCCGAUGUCGGAUUAGCUAGUUGGUGGGGUAAAGGCCUACCAAGGCGACGAUCCGUAGCGGGUCUGAGAGGAUGAUCCGCCACACUGGGACUGAGACACGGCCCAGACUCCUACGGGAGGCAGCAGUGGGGAAUUUUGGACAAUGGGGGCAACCCUGAUCCAGCCAUGCCGCGUGAGUGAAGAAGGCCUUCGGGUUGUAAAGCUCUUUCAGACGGAAAGAAAACGCAUCGGUGAAUACCCGGUGUGGAUGACGGUACCGUAAGAAGAAGCAUCGGCUAACUACGUG